UACGGAGGAUCCGAGCGUUAUCCGGAUUUAUUGGGUUUAAAGGGUGCGUAGGCGGACUGAUAAGUCAGCUGUGAAAGUUUGCGGCUCAACCGUAAAAUUGCAGUUGAAACUGUCAGUCUUGAGUGUACAUAAGGUAGGCGGAAUUCGUGGUGUAGCGGUGAAAUGCUUAGAUAUCACGAAGAACUCCAAUUGCGAAGGCAGCUUACCGGGGUACAACUGACGCUGAGGCACGAAAGCGUGGGUAUCAAACAGGAUUAGAUACCCUGGUAGUCCACGCAGUAAACGAUGAAUACUCGCUGUUGGCGAUAUACCGUCAGCGGCUAAGCGAAAGCAUUAAGUAUUCCACCUGGGGAGUACGCCGGCAACGGUGAAACUCAAAGGAAUUGACGGGGGCCCGCACAAGCGGAGGAACAUGUGGUUUAAUUCGAUGAUACGCGAGGAACCUUACCCGGGCUUAAAUUGCACAGGAAUAAUUUGGAAACAGAUUAGUCUUCGGACCUGUGUGAAGGUGCUGCAUGGUUGUCGUCAGCUCGUGCCGUGAGGUGUCGGCUUAAGUGCCAUAACGAGCGCAACCCUAAUGAUUAGUUGCUAACAGGUGAUGCUGAGCACUCUAGUCAGACUGCCGUCGUAAGAUGUGAGGAAGGAUGGGAUGACGUCAAAUCAGCACGGCCCUUACGUCCGGGGCUACACACGUGUUACAGUGGGGAGUACAGAGGGCAGCCACCUGGCAACAGGGCGCUAAUCCGUAAAAGCUCCUCUCAGUUCGGAUCGAAGUCUGCAACUCGACUUCGUGAAGCUGGAUUCGCUAGUAAUCGCGCAUCAGCCAUGGCGCGGUGAAUACGUUCCCGGGCCU
rnacentral:rRNA from 1 species